rnacentral:rRNA from 1 species
CCGGGGGUUCGCCUCCGGGUGAGAGUGGCGAACGGGUGAGUAAUGCGUGACCGACCUGCCCCAUACACCGGAAUAGCUCCUGGAAACGGGUGGUAAUGCCGGAUGCUCCAGUCCAUCGCAUGGUGGUCUGGGAAAGAUUCCAUCGGUAUGGGAUGGGGUCGCGUCCUAUCAGCUUGAUGGCGGGGUAACGGCCCACCAUGGCUUCGACGGGUAGCCGGCCUGAGAGGGCGACCGGCCACAUUGGGACUGAGAUACGGCCCAGACUCCUACGGGAGGCAGCAGUGGGGAAUAUUGCACAAUGGGCGCAAGCCUGAUGCAGCGACGCCGCGUGCGGGAUGAAGGCCUUCGGGUUGUAAACCGCUUUUGAUCGGGAGCAAGCCCUUCGGGGUGAGUGUACCCUUCGAAUAAGCACCGGCUAACUACGUGCCAGCAGCCGCGGUAAUACGUAGGGUGCAAGCGUUAUCCGGAAUUAUUGGGCGUAAAGGGCUCGUAGGCGGUUCGUCGCGUCCGGUGUGAAAGCCCAUCGCUUAACGGUGGGUCUGCGCCGGGUACGGGCGGGCUGGAGUGCGGUAGGGGAGACUGGAAUUCCCGGUGUAACGGUGGAAUGUGUAGAUAUCGGGAAGAACACCAAUGGCGAAGGCAGGUCUCUGGGCCGUCACUGACGCUGAGGAGCGAAAGCGUGUGGAGCGAACA